rnacentral:lncRNA from 1 species
GUGUGUAGAUGGGUGAGAAAAACAUCAGUUUAAUCCAUUUUGAAUUUAGGCUGUAACACAACAAAAUAUGGAAUAAGUCAAGGGGUAUGAAUAUUUUCUGAAGGCAUUGUAAGUAUCAUGAUAAUAUCGUAUCGUGAGGUCCCUGGCAAUUCCCAGCGCUAUACUGUACAGUACAGAACAGUAGAGUAAAGAAAAGUAUAGUACAGUACAGAACACUAAAGUAAAGAAAAGUACAGUAGAGUUCUUACUAUACACAGUAAAAUCACCAGUGUUAUAUUCACUGUGACAAAAGUGAUCGACUCCCAUAGAGUUGUUUUCGCAACUGGCAGUGCCAAAUGACCCCUAGCGUCAGUGCUGAUAACUGGUGUUAAUUACUAAGCUGCUUACUAUAUAUUGAAGACUAAUCUGAUUUAAGACCUAAUCAUGCUGAUCAGGGUGAAAUUCAAUGGUGAACAAAAAUAUGUCAAGAUCAUUUUGACCUGACACUUGAAAACCUUUUGAUUGGAGAAUCUUCCCUGAUGAGUCCUGUCUCUGCCAGUUCUGUGAUCGGUGGUUCAGACCAUGAGUCGGAUGAUACAAUAAUUUUGAGUGAUGGAAGCUCCUCACGACAGCAUCAAAGAUCUGAUGACGAAGCAAAAAAUGUACGUUUGUAAUUCAUUCUUCAAUUCACUUGCCAUCAAAGCUAAUAGAGAGCAUACUGAAGAAAAAGCCUGGUGGAGAGGUUGUCAUCAAGGAAUACUUCAAAACUAAAAGCCUGACUGACUGCACCAGAUGAAAGAUGAUCAACAUUCUUGUUUCAGCGAUGACAGACUCUCAUGGGACAUCACCACCUCGCAGUGUGAGGAAAAACGUUUGCACAAGGCAUCAUAUCCUUGUUCCCAUACCCGAAGGAUCCCUACACCGCAAAUGGAUAUAUAACAAUACAUUUCAACUGAUAAAGGGCAUCUGCGUUUAAUUCGUCUGGUAUGGUAUCUGAGUAAAUGGGACUUGGUUAUUUGUUUUUUCUUUCAAGAUUAGUAAGAUUAGUCAUUUUCUUAAGGAACAUUAUUAUGACCCUAAUAGUGGAGAAGGGUACCUCUCGUAUGGAAUGAAAACCGUUCAGAGGAAUUUGGCUUCAUCUGAGAAACGGCCCACUCAACUAUACUCUGGAGGGCCAACUGCUGAGAGGGAGUCCAGUCCAUCCACUUUGGCUACCCUGAGUGAAGACCGGUGCAGAGAGGCCAUUUCGAAGGCAAUUUCUUUCUCACAAAACAUUCCAUUUUAACCUCAGAGUUUGAGUAAAUCACCAGCCUACACAUAAGAGAAAUGGCCUUAAUCGACAUCUACGGCACCCAGGGAACAGUGGGUUAACUGCCUUGCUCAGGGGCAGAACAACAGAUUUUUACCUUGUCAGCUCGGGGAUUUGAUCCAGCAUCCUUUCAGUUACUGGCCCAAUGCUCUAACCACUAGACUACCUGGGUGCAAAACUUUAAAUGUGUGAAGGGAUAAACUGAUAACAGAGCCUAAAAUCAUUCUCAACUCCACAACAUGGCCAUAUCCCAACUCUCCAUUCCUUGCCCCCUCUCCUUCCAGGUAACUGACCAGUGAAUUGACUGAAUACCCCCCACACAUACACCACAAAGUACCGAGUAAAGGGUCUGAAUGCUUAUGUAAAUGUAAUAUUUCAGUUCUCUAUUAUUUUAUUUUUUCCGAAAAUAAAAAAUAAACGUUUAUUUUUUAUUUUUGUCAUUAUGGGGUAUUGUGUGUCGAUUGACGACGGGGAAAAAACAAUUUAAUACAUUUUAGAAUACAGCUGUAACAUAAGAAAAUGUGGAAAAAGUCAAGGGGUCUGAAUACUUUCCGAAUUCACUGUGCAUCACUAUGAUUAAUGACUUCACAUUUAACUGGCUAGCUAGACACAAUUGUUACCUUGUAGCUACAACUUUUGAAAUACUCCUCUUCUUUUCGUACAAGCUCGGCUUGUUUCAAGUAUUUCUUUGAAUCCUGUAAAUAGAAACAUAAACUAACACCACAUCUCAACAAGAAGAUGCAAUGAUUACAACAUUUUAAUCUGACAAAUUAUAGCUAGCUAAACCAGCUGAGCUCUGAAACUACUGUAAACUAAAGUAGCUAGCUGGCAUGAGCUUGCCGCUAACCUCAGACACAUAGUGUGCAGGGCAAACCCGUUUUGGUGAUUUCGGCAGAGGCGGCUACAGAGGGGAGGACGGCUCAUAAUAAUGGCUGGAACGGCGCGAAUGGAAUGGUAUCAAACACAUGGAAACUAUUUGUUUGAUGUAUUUGAUACCAUUCCAGUGAUUCCGCUCCAGCCAUUACCACGAGCCCGUCCUCCCCAAUUCAGGUGCCACCAAUCUGUGGAUUUCUGGAAUAUCAUCAAAAUAAAUAAAUCACAGCACGUUUAGACUCAUUCUGCAGUUUUUACCUGAUUAACUACAAUCCCAUUGGAAAUUAAUUUUGAAAGUUUAUAUUUCUAAAUUCAAAAUGAUGCUGUCGCUGCUUUCUGUUGACAAGACAUUGAUAAAUAGCAGUGGCGACCCGUCAUACAGGGCAGUUGGGGCAGAGCAAAAACAGGUGGGGAGUUAGUUGCCUGUUUUGCAUGUUAUUUUGGCAUUAAUUCGUGUCACAUAUCAGUUUGCAAACAAUGUAAAAACAAAUGUAUUGAGUGAAUAAAGCUGCAUACAAACAUGAGCUCUUGCUUUCUUGAGUAAGGUAGCUCCAAAAUGCAAGUGUUUCAGCCUAGCUCAUGUUUGAUUUCUGUGGAAUCUGCAGGGAGAGCUAGGUAGUUCAAGCUCUGUUGGGUGCUGCUGUAACCUGUACCGGUACCUUUCUGCGUUGUGUUCUGGUGAGGUGUAGGUGGAAGAGAAGGGAAAGCUCUGGACACAAUUCUGCCGGUUGUCUCUCUUUUAAUGACUAUAUAGAAUAGAUACAAAUGCAAGGCAAAUGUUAAUGCUGCCGUCUGGACUCUCAUACACAAGUAUAUUUGCCUGAUAAAAGACAAAAGACAGUGCAGAAUGCCCGUGAGAAAAUCGUCAAAAAAAUGAUCUCUACGGUAGUAGAGGGCUGUAGUACCUGCUGUUCCCGACAGAGAUCAUUGCGGCAUGGUUGGCAUUUUUCAUGCUGCAGUUGGGAG